ACUCUCUCCAUAAUUUGUGGGGCUUAUAAAAAAGAACUCUCUUUCCUUAGACAGAGUACUACUAACUCUUUAUUUUCCACUUCUCCUUUUAGUGACAUUUGCUAGCUCGGAAUUUAAAAGAGACUACCAGCUGCAGCCCAUAGGGAGCUGUUACAUACUCUUGCAAUUUAGUAGUGGAGCCUGUGAUUUCUUUUCUUUCUAUCCCAUAAAUGCUUGGACUUUUGAUUGUGGUGGGGGUUUCUUCUUGGUUCUUAUUCCCAGCAGCUGGUAACUAUUUAUGUUUUGAUAUAGCUAUUUGGAAGUUUUAGGAAUGGAUAAGAUUUUUCCCUAGGUGGGUUGAACACUUUGUUACUCAGAUACAGAUCCUGUGAAAAGUCUGAAGUAUAUUUCCAGACAUCUCUCUAUCAUCACUUUACAGCAUUUGGAUCACUUGUAUUCAGAAGUUUGCUACAGGCAGCAUGAAAAUACUGGGAAAAGCAAAGUGUGCAAUGAUAUCAGAGCCAAGUGAACAAUGCAGAAACGGAUCCUGGGUGCCUGGAUCUCUAACCAUGACUGCAAAGCACAAAGGCUAUGUCAAAGCAUUCAUGGAUAGACUCCCCUACAUGGCUGCUAAAGAAAUUUGGAAUCAUGAGAGCAGGACUAGCCUUUUCCCAAGGGGCUGGAGAGACCUUUGCCUGAAGGCACCUGAGAUCUGGAGAAUAGCCUCCAAUAGUCUUGGAGAAUUGACAGAGGCCUCUGGGGUGCCCUGCUUAGCUGCUUUGAGACAGGUCAUACAGCAUUUUCACAACUCCACUGCAAACCAUAAACUUGGAAGAGCAACUCUCCUUUUCUGUGUAGCUGUGCAGCAGUUACCAGUUGAUGAAGACGUGUCAGCAGACUUCAGCAGACCAGCUGAUAGAGACUGUCGUAGCAUGUGAUGAACUUUCACUGAUUUCCUACAGGUGUAGAGCUGCAGCUUCGUUAUUGCUUUGGGACCACAAGAGCAACUGUGAGCACCUGUGGCAGGGAAGAUGUAAGGCAGAGACAAGUAAAUGAACCUUCUCUUGGAGGUAUAAGACAUUGAUGUCCCAUGUGUCGACCCCUGCAGAACAGAAUCAGGAGGUAUCUGUGCAGACUAAGCUCAACGUGUUUUAUUCUGGAUUUCUACUGAUGUCUGAGAGCAUAUGCUGCUGAACAGAAGGAGCACUGUUGCCUCCAGGAAAUUCCAAAAAAUUUCUGGAUCACAGCGAAAUCAUGACUGGGAAGUCUUGAAAGUGGUUUGCUUCAGUACUCUGUGACAGGGGACAAAUGCAUCUGUGGUGUACUUACUUCCUCCUCCUAAAAGGUCACCUGUUCCACUGCUCUGGUUGUAUGAAAUUGCUGGGGUAUAGGCACAAUCACAGUCAAUGUCUUAUAAAAAGAUUACGUGGAUGCCAAUCUGCAUAUGAAACAGUGCUACAACAUGUUUAGUAUCGAAUGAAACAAUGUUCACAGUCUUGUGCUGGUUUGGAAUUGGAAUAUAUUUAUUAAUUUAUAUUAUUUAAAACAUUCUUUUUUUUUUUUCUUUUUUUUUUUUACAGAAAUGCACUCAUUAAAGAUAGAACAUUCUGUAUGGCUGAAAAAGAAUAAAAGUAUUCUUAGCAAUUAAUUUUUAAAAUGG
rnacentral:lncRNA from 1 species